GUGAAUUUAGUUUAACAAAUAAAACAUUUACCUUGCAAGUAAAAAACACAAGUUUAAUCCCUGUAAUACAC
rnacentral:tRNA from 1 species